CUCUUACAGAAAGAUCUUCAUCCCAGUGCAGAGCCACCUCACAUGGCCCUGAGGAUUAAAGGACCAGCCAACCCUUCAUGUCUACUCCCAAAUGAAAAUGACCAGGUUUUGAACAGACCAAGCUCUGAGUGGUGGCCCAGGAGACACUGGAUUAGGAGCAAGGCACCUCAAACAGACACUUCCUUCUCUCUCUGGGCACCGUCAAAACCUCCAGAUAACCUGGCAACUGCAAAUGAAUUUCAAGCAUUUGACAAAGUGGGGUUGAACAUCACUUCACUCUGGUUUGCCGCGGAAGCCUUAAUAUUAAGAUAAGAUCGUCAGACCAAAUGAAACCAUACAAACCACACAUCAACAUGUUUGACAAGCUCUUCCUGGCUCCUCCAAAAUGUAAUUUUGGCAGCAACUUUGGACAGAACAUCAAUUCAAAUACAUAAAUAAAAGGACAUGGAUUAUCACAAA
ensembl:lncRNA novel transcript